rfam:Oryza brachyantha chromosome 10, whole genome shotgun sequence.
AAUAAACUAAUUUUUCACUUUUUACCUUUAAUUUUUGAUUCUUCGUCUUAUUAAAAAAAUUUGCGAUUGAUAUUUCUGUUUUUAUUAGAUGAUAAAUUAUGAAUAGUACUUUACGUGUGACUAAUUUUUUUCUAAUUUUUUGAAAAUUUUUCAAAUAAGACGGAUGGUCAAACGUUGGACACGGAAACCGGAGAAUUCAUUUUUU